GCGCGACCCUCACCGCGGCCGCGGCGCUAACGGCACGGCAGAGCCGCCGGGGCUCCAGCUGGCGGCUGCCCGGGGCCUCCCCGCGGUGCCCGGCUGGGCCGGGGAGGGGUCUGGCCCCGGUGCGCGGGAAGGAGAAGCCUUGGCGGCCUGGCACUGAGCCCCGCGGGCGCUGGCGGCCGAGCGAGACGCGACAUCGGGCCCGGGGCGGCUGGGAGAAGGGGGUCGCUCUCAGCACGGACGACGCCUGGGUGCGAACACGGGCCUAGGGAGUGAGCGGCAGCAGAUGAGCUUGAAGGCCUGGGAAGGAUGCAAAGGAGAAGAGGAAAGAGGUGGAGACAAUGUGCUGCCUUUGCUUCCUGGCCCGCUGGUGGGAGACAAGGCUCUGCAUGGUGUAGGAGCACCUUCUCCCUGCCAGCUCCAAGGGAACAUUUCUGACAAGUGGAGGAGGAGCUUCUGCAGGAUUUUGAGAUCUGCUGCACAGUACUGCAGGCGUGGAUGGAGAAAUAGCUACCAGAGAACAGCAGGCCAAAGAGAGGAAGAGUACAUUCUGAGAGAGAGGUUGUGA
rnacentral:lncRNA from 1 species